GUUUUUAUGUACAAUACAUACUUAAAAUAGAUGAAGGAGGACAUAGGAAUUUUAUAUGUAGGUAUAUUUUAUACGCUUCAUGGCACAAAGGUACAACUUCACUAGAAAGACACUGGAUUCACCACUAACCUCUACAUGGCUAUAGGUAUCUUGACAUUCUUGCUGCCACCAGGUCUCUGCUGGUCUUGGAUAACAGCUACCACCUUGAACAAAUUCAGAUCCUCCAUCGUGUUCCUCUGCCCCUCAAGAGAAGGCUAAAUCCACAGACAUCCAAAUGUCAAGAAGGCCAAGAAGGGUUACCAAAUGUUUAGUACAUUUAGAGGUCAGCACAAGGUUUAGACUGCGUGACUGAUGUUGAAAAGAAAGAUUCAUGCACUCAAAAGGAUCGACUUGAAACCAGCAGGGAGAAUUAUCUAGCAAAUAACUGUGCACUGGAAGGACAAGAAGGAAAUGAACAAAAUAGAAAAAGAAAAGUUUUCUAAGCUCUGUUUUCUUAAAAGCUUCCUUGCCAUGUAGGAGAUGACUAUGGACUGAACCGUGAGAGACACUCUAGGAUUCACAGCCCCUUUGUCUUUUGUUCUACAUCAUGCUAAAGAAUCAGGAAUGCCAUAUUUGCAAUGUCUUCACUUGACAUCUUCUGUCUGCAUGCACUCCUGUAGCACAGCCACUGCCAGGAGCAGCCAGCAUUGUCCAGAGCCAACUCUUUUCAGAGUCACGUGAUGCAUCUCCUCUUUACAAACAAUUUACAUUUUAUUUUUUUUUUUUAUUUUAAAAAAGCACACACUGCACACUAAGCAGACAGAUGGCAAUUAAGCCAGUGGGUGCAGAUCAGGGCAAAAAGUAAUUAAUGGUAGAAAGCACUCACAAACCAGAUUCAAUAUUUUCCCUAAAGAAGGAAGGGAAAUAUUGCAAAGAAAACACAUAUAAUCCAUUAUUCAAAUACAAAUUAUGACUACUUAAUUACCCUAAUAUGAAUAAUUGUUCAAAGAGGUACAAAUACUGUAGUAUUUAAGCACAUUUUCUGCCUUGGCACAGGUGGCUUCUGGAAAUAAAUCAAGUAAUGAAAUGUUCCAAGUUCUGCUGCCAUUCUGAUGGUUUCAUUCUUUCAUUUUGUCCUCCCCCUUAAUAUAUGCUUCAAGAAACAAAACUAAAAAGCCCACCACCUUAAUCCAGCAAUUUUGUGCUAGCACAGAUCUAAAAAACAAACUCAUUGGCUCAUAAGUAAAUCAUUUCACUUAACUCUGUGAAAUAAACUGUUGAGUUUCUCUCGUCAUCUUUGGAAAAUAACACGAGGGCUGCUCCAACAGUAUUUUUCCAUGGAAAAACAAAAACAAAACAAAACAAAAAAACACAUUUCCCCUACUUUCAAAAAACAGAGGAAGGCAGUUGGUGGAAACUAUUUUUUGUUGGUUAUACAUGGGCAGAUCCAACAGAAGUCAAAAAGACUCCUAAGUAUUGCAAUCUACCAUCAUCUUACAGAGCAACUUUUGGGAUGAGAACAAACAAUUUGAAAGACAGAUGGCAGAAGUUUAGCAGCAUCAGCAGAGAUACAGCUAAUCAGAGGCAUAUAUCUUAUCACUGACAUAACAAACUAUCAGACUGUGAACCUUGUCACAAAUAAAUCAGCAUGGCCAAUACAUUUCCAGACCUGAGGUAGGAUGAGACUGUUCCAGAAGAUCACCACCACUUCCGAGAAGGGAAACACAGAAUCCAGGUCCAGACCAUUACUUGGAAAACAAGCUAUAGGCCUCAUUAAACCAUUCAAAUUUCUUCAGAUUGCCAAAUUCAACUUGAACUUUUACAAAGAAUGACUCUCCAAUGCCCUUGCCACGAGGGACCAUCUUCUUUAAUGCUGAAAUAGGGUGUUGAAGACUGGGCCAUAAAAGCUGAGACAGGGUUAGAUAGGCCAGUCUGGCACGAAAAACUACAAGAUUUCCUUUUAUUCUCUGCCAGAAACAACAGAAUCUGAGGACCAAUGCAAUUACAAACAUCACAAGAAACAGCAUUUCCAGAAGGAAAAUAGACCUAUUUCUCAUUAAAAGCUAACACGUACAAAGUAAGUAUUGCAGUAUUAUUUCCUUUAACAUCACCAAACACUACAGAUCUCUGCUUGAAAAUGGUGCUUUUAAGUUUUUUUCCUUGGUCCUACAGGACUUCCAGACAUACUGAUAAACAAAAGCAGACUGACUACUCUGGCAUCUUGGCAUGCAGUCAUUUAAUACAGAGACACUUCCUAACUUGUGCAAAAUUGAAACAUUUGUUUGAGAAUAAUUAGUGCCUUAGCCCAAAAAUGUUUGGCAGACUUUUCUAAUUAGUUGAGAAAAAUGAUUGAGGCAGGCAGGCAAGCAAGCAGAUUUUUCCAGGCAUUCUGUGAAAAUAAUUUGGACCACACACUUGGCUGCAGAGCCAGAUAACGUAUGUCAUUCUUUGCUAUCUUAACAGGUAGGAUAAAAGGAAAAACAACAACAACAAAAAUAACAACAACAACAAAAAACCCACCACCACCAAAACAUAAGAACAAGAGCCAGCCAUCUGGCAUAUGAAAUCUGAAUUGAAAGGACUUUUCACUUCUGCUAAUGUAGCUCUUCUGUUCUCUGAAGCACAAUGAUCAAGUCACACUGUGUUAGGCCCCAGCAAAUUACUUAUUUUCCUUUGUAUUUCCUAUUGUACUGUAAGAACCAGAGCUGAAAAUAUUCAUUGUGAGUCACAGGCUGUGCGGGCCCCAGAACAAUAUUUGCAGAGUAUUCACGCUGGGAUAGCCAACUGUGUUUUCCUUCUCCAGGGAUGUUUUAGCGUGCAAAGCAUGUUCGAGGCAAACUGGGAUCAGGACAAUAUCAAAUCACCACAUGCUUUAGUAGGCUGUGCAGCUUCCAGACACGUUUCCUUUCUGAGAUCCUUCCAGAAAUCAGUCUGCUAGCAAAUGAAAACUCAAGUUGCCAUGUCACUUAACUAUACCUAAUCAGAUUUCAUGGAAUUAGUUCAAAAUAUGGCAAUGUAACUGCUACUUCAAGCACUUACUACUUCAUAUACUAAUGCAACUAACUCAGGCAUGUAACAUAGUUAAAGCUUUUUGACAUCCGGGCAUAUCAAGAACUUCUCACCUCUGCAUUUUAUAUUAUUUCAGUUUAGGGAGUAAUCGAGGGAAAGAAAGUUUCAGGUUUAAAAAAAAAAGAUUCUAAAUGAAUCUAUAAAACGAAUAAGCUGGUCAAACCAUUAGAUGUAAAUGGAUAUAUUGUGAUUUAAAUGCAGAUUUAUGAAACAAUUACGUUUGCCAGUAGUAUUUGCAUAUUUCCCAUGUCUGCAGACUGAGUGGUAGCCAUUUGGCUUAUUACAGUUAGAUAACCACCUGGAACUCCUUCCUGGGAAAGUUCCCAAGUCUAGACACUGGAAAUCACAUAUGUAUUCAAUUAUAAGAAACUAUUACUGUAAGGCCAACAUAAAUCUCCUACAUCAACAAUCAGUUGCCAAUUAUAUCACAUUCCACAAUAAGCCUUCUAAUAGAACUAAUUUAUGGAAUGUUUGGCUUAGAAAAAAAAUCAAUAAAAUUAAGAGAAAGGGGGAAGUAAAAAUAUAUCAGGUCCUGACAUUAGAGUGAACAUUUGAACUCAAAUAUUAGUUUGGUAAGGGAAAAAUAUCUGCAGUGAACUGGAUGAGCAGCACAAUAACUGUUACAAACUAAAACAGUCCUUUCUGCAAACAAGGACAGUUCUUUUUGCCUGCAGGAUUCACCACAUCCACUCCUGCACUGUGCACACCACACUCUGUGAAGAAGUUUUAAAGAUAUCAGUGAUUAGGUUUUUCUUCUCUUGUUACACUACACAUCCGCUAUACAAGAGGCCAAAACUGCAGUUAGGCUUUUUGAGCCAUGCAAUAAAACCCAGGAGGAUGUGUUUGAAUUUCCAUCAGUAACUUGUAGUCAUAUGGCAAUAACGUCUAGAGCAUCAACUACCUAGAAGUCAGCUGAUUUUUUGGAAACUGCAGGAAACGAUGAUGGUUCAAAAUAGACAACAAAGAAAACAGUGUUCACAAAACAAACUUGCAUAUAGGAAAUAAAAGACAUUUUACACGUAAAGGAAGAUCACACAAAAGGGCAAGUGAACACACCUGAAAUCACCCAAACCAAGAGAAUAUUUUCCCUUUUCAUUUCCCACUGAGUGCACUGAUUGUAUUCAUCUGGUUUCUGUAGCCAAGAAAUAUUAGCUUAGUUCUUUUGGAUAGUGCCAUUUUAAUUUAAGCACAGUAGAGUUCUCUAUGGCAACCCAUUAAAUGUUUAAGUAGAAAUACUAUAACUUGCAACUUUACUAUAAUUUGCAGUCUUAAAAUUUGAUUUAAUUCUGAAAAUCAUUUCUCUCAAUUUACAGAUGGGAAGAAAUGUCCAACAGUAUAAGGAUUAAAAUCUUUGGUUACAGAGCUAAGGACUUCUCAACGUUACAGUUCCUUCCCAGGAACAUCACUCAAUCUUUUUAUUGGUUUUCAAACAGGAUGUGAUGCAGAUAUAUCAGGGGCCAUGAAAUUGUUUUUGCCUGUGGUAAUAUCUGAAUGCAUGACUGGCAAAACAAGGCAAAGCAAUAACCUGCAUUACUAUCUUGAUCUGUUUUGUUCACAGUAUCUCAUAAAAAAGUACUAACUGCAAGCAAUAUACAACACUUUUUUUUUUUUCUGUUUCUCAAUCAAUAUUAUGUUUUGACUAGCAAGUAAAUUUGAUCAAGAAUUUGUGGUAUUUAUCAAUUCUGAAAGGAAAUUCUCAGAUCCAGCCCAGACUUUCUCGAAGAAACGGCUCAUUUCAGCAGGGAUCAUUUGGUCUCAAUGAGGUCAAAAGGUUGAAGUUCCUUCUUUGGCAGAUUCAGGUUCUUUUGGAUGAGUCUGUUGCAACAGUUUCUAACAGAAGGUCCCCCUUCAUGCACAGUCAAUGCUCAAUUAUCCAGUGAGGGGAGAGAACUCAGAGUCACAUGGGAGCUCUGAACAGCAGGCCACUACCUAGCCAAAAACCAUCCUUCCAUUUUUCAAGCAAACCACUUUUCUGAGACCUAAUUCUACCCAAAUUUGGAACAAAUUCAUUUCCAGUAUUUAGAAACCCAGAACACACAGACAGUUUGCCUGUAAGGGCUUUCCUUAAUGCUAGAGAUGUAACUAUUUUGGCACAAUUUGAGCUCAAUCAUUUGUAGCUCAUCAUACUGGUUUGCCAUAAAAUUUAGCAUUUUAGAAUCACCUCCACAGUACAAUUACAAAGGCACAGAUGACAGUAUGGAGACAGUGUUUGAAGGAAAAGCAUGACACUGGUUAAAGACACGAGCAGUCAUCUGAAAUCCAAAUGAGACUAUUCCUGUACGUUCCUCUAGACUCCUGCUGUUGGAGCACUUCAGCUGGAGUUAUCUCCACUGUUGUCAAUCCUUAUACAAAAAUUAAAGAAUGAGGAAAAGCAAGACUUAAUGAAGUUAUCUUCUGAAAUAACUAGAAGAACAUUCAAUACGUUAUUUUAGGUUCAACAAAUUCCUUGCGUUCCUAUGACUGCAUACCAGACUAGGAAAAAUGAACGCUUGCUUAAUUGCUUGAAGUAGUCUCUCCUAAAUACCGUGAACUGAAAUUAAAUUUAGUCAGAAUUUUAUUUCCAACAACAUUUGGGAAUCAAAGAUGCUUCUGAUCGGUGGAAAACAUGGCAUUAUGAGUGAAACUAUUCACCCUCCCACCCCCUAGAAGUUUGUUCCUUGAAAGAAAGGAGUUGAUGGUAAUAGGGUCAGCUAGGAUUUACCCGGCAAGAAAUAAAGUCGCAAUACCCCUCCUGUUACUACCUUUCAUCAAAGGACUUUCCACAAGUCAAUAUACGUAGCAAAGCACACCGGUGAAAGAUAAAGGGAAUUUUAGCACAGGACAGCGAAAGUCAGUCUCCAUUUCUCUAUCACAAGGUCGUUAACCUUCAAAGCAUGGACGUUAAGCACAUACAUUUAAUUUGAGACAUCCAUCAGUAGUAAUAGAGAGAUGCAUUAUCCCCUUCUGUAAUGUAAAAGUGAUCUAUAAUCCAAAGAACUCUGAAUAGCCCAAAUGUUGCUAAAAAUACAAGACAAUGCAGUUAAAUGCAUUGUUCAACUGUUAACUUUGGAACAGCCAAUGUUCAGCGUGGUCCUCCAUUCUUCCUUUUAAAUAAAAGACAGCAUGUUAUCUUCCAUGUUAACGUAUCUAUUUGCAUAAGUCAGUGGUUCAUUCAAACCUAAGCCAAAAAAACAAACCCAAAAAUAAAUCAACAAAACCCUUAGUAAAGCACAGACACCCGUGUUUUUCCCAAAACAAAGGUCAUUUUAAGAAGCCACAACUUCUUAGGUAUUAUCAUCAGAUUAAACCAGGCAUAAUUGCAAACCAAGUAGUUAUCAGAAAGACACUUACAUGGAUAGCACAUUAAUUCAUUGCUCUUCACAUUGCUUAAUUAACCGCCUCGUAGCACCAAGUUAUGUCAUUGUUUAGCUUUACCUUUAAGCAAUUGCUGAAAAUCACACAGUUUGAGGCAGAGAGACCUUGAGGUGGUUUUAAUGACAUCUUCAAAGAGUAAAGACUUGGCUCAGGACUGAAAAAUGAAAGAAACUCAUGCUUAGCCUGAAAAAAAAAUAAUACUUUUGGAUUUAGAUUAGUCAUUCAAAAGCAAAGAGCACCUGUUUCUUCUCUUCUAAAGAACUUUAUACGUCUGGUAAUUUUUCACUCGUGCCUCACUUCUGUGAAGAACUUAAAAUUUAUGUGCUUUGAGACACUCCUAUAUCUUUUUUUUUCAGGUUUAGGUUCUGCAGAAAAUCCCCUAAACUUCUAAACAAAAUCCACAAUUCUGACAAGUUGUAUAGUACUGCAGAAUGAUUUUGGUGUAUCUAUUGUGCUCAAUACUGGUAGAAAAUCACCAAAGGCUAACUCCCACUAAAAUACCUUGGACUAUUACUUUCAAAAUUAUAAAGAUAUGCAAAAUGCAGAGCAGUGCUUGGCUGUUUUUUCCAAGAGUUCACAGUGAGUUCUGAUACCUUUCAAAAAAUCCCCGUAAAUGCAUAUUUUUAUGCAGGAAUUUUAAUCCUGAUGCUUCCUAAUUGUUGAGUGAAUUUAGAAUCAGAGAACCAUAAAGACUGGAAAAGACCUCUAAGAUCAUCUACUACAACCAUUAAUUCACCACCACCAUGCCCACUAAACUUUACAUGCAAUAGGCCUUUUGAGCACCUUCAUUCCUGAGCAUUCAAAUUUGUAAGGCUCCUAUACAGGGAUCUACAUGCACUGCACAACUGCUGUGUUAUCUACAUAUGGUCUUUUAUUUAUUUUUCAAACUGUAUUUGAAGAAUAAGGCCAUGACAUACAAAUAAAGAACCUAAAGGAGUUAAAUUUCAAAAGCUUUGUUGAAUUCACAGAAAUAACUGUUGAGUGUAAUCAGCCCAAUAAUCCUUAAAUUAAAAAUCACUAAUAAGCCAUGACAUAUGAAAUGGUAUCAAUCAAGGCAAUUCACUCAGUUGUGCCAAGUACUCUGUAGCUUGAACUCUAGAACACUGUAUGUUAUAACAAAAUGCAGAAACGAUGUGGAACAGCUAUCACUGCAACAUCUUCCUAACACAUAAGGAUGUCCAACUGGCCAUGACUACAGAGCACUUUUCCUUUCCCUGCGAUGUCAGAGACAGGUUUAAUUAUAAAGCUGCAGUGAAAUCGCUGAAAAUGAAGAUAAAUAGAAUACACCAUCUAGAAAUAAUGUGGGCGUGCUAGCUAGGAACUGAUGUCUGUGGUUUGUACUGCAGUUAGUAAUCUAAUUGGGAUCAGAUUGUCUAAUACAUUACAGAAUUGCAAGCAACUCCAUGAUUUAGUCUUUGAGACACUAGUGUGACAAAAAUUUCUGUUACAGCUCAGAUACAGAUCUCAAAAUGAAGAGAGCUUACAACCUGAGCGUGUUACAUCUAUAAACAUACCACAAGUUCUCAUUUGCUGUUGCAAGAUGAAAGAAAAUCUGGGAGUAAAAUUGUGGCAAUCUGAUCACAACCUUUAAUGUGUUACUGGCAGGACACUUUUUUCCUGAUUCCACGGUAAAAUUAAGAAGAGAACAUGCUUCUGAAAUACUUGUUGUAGGAUAUAUAUAUAUAUAU
ensembl:lncRNA